rnacentral:rRNA from 1 species
CGUGUAGGCGGCUGAGCAAGUCAGAUGUGAAAUCCCUGGGCUUAACCCAGGAAGUGCAUUUGAAACUGCUUAGCUUGAGUAAGGAAGAGGGAAGUGGAAUUCCUGGUGUAGAGGUGAAAUUCGUAGAUAUCAGGAGGAACACCGGUGGCGAAGGCGACUUCCUGGUCCUAUACUGACGCUGAGACGCGAGAGCGUGGGGAGCAAACAG